AGUACAGUAGACUCCCGAUUAUCCGCGCCUGACGCACUAAGUUUUCUUUUUUGCUUCCAAGCAAAGGGAAAAUGCUUCCAAAGCAAGAAACAAACAUGACUGAUGACUGAUUUCUUCAAAAAGGUGUAGUUUUACAGUUAUGCUUUUGUAAUUACAUAAUACAUUACAGUAUUAAAACAGUACAUAGGUAUUCAUUUUUCUGUGUAUCCUUGACGCCUCUCGUUUUUCUACUGUUCAUUCUUUGCUUCCCUUAUAUAUGUUCGACGAAGAAGUUUCACUGCACACCGGACAUCUGCAGGUUCAUGCACUGUGAAGUAAAAAGGGUUUGUGAAUACCCGAAUUCGUACAUGAAAAGGAAGGGUGGUCUUUGUGGAUGUUGCGAUGAAUGCAUUGUGGUGAGAUUUAAGGGUGAAAUGUGCUCAGCUGUUAUUGAUCAGAUGUACCCUCCGAAAAUUGUAUGUGCUGCUGGUCUGAUAUGCGAUGAAUACACACUUAGGUGUAAGAAAAUAUUGCCAUAAUGGGAAAAAUGGUUUCCUUCGAAG